rnacentral:tRNA from 1 species
CAGAGAGUAGUUUAUUAUAAAAUAUUAAUUUUGGGAAUUAAAGACGGAAGAAUAUCUUUUUUCUCUGA